UGAACUGGUGAUGUACAUCUGGGCCC
rnacentral:piRNA from 1 species